UCCGAAUUGGGCCAACGUGUUUAGUAUGUAGGAGUAGGAUCUAGCAGUAGCACGUAGCAGUAGCAUGUAGUAUCCGAGCGGGCAGUUCGGACGCAGCACAGGUCGCGUCGCGUCGCGUUGGUCGGUUAGGUCGCGUCGCGUGGUGCUCUGGUGUGUUCACACCGGGUCCAAAGUUGCAGUCGCAGGUCGCGGCUGGUCGCCGGUGACGUCAUCCAUGUCACUAGCUCAGUUUUCAGUUCAUCAGUGCUGCCGCAUAUCUGUACAUCCGCAGUAGACGCCGCCGGCGUUUAUGGGUGCAUGAAACCAUCCGGAGGAGGACGGAGCUGGGUGAAUUUCACCGCUUGCUCCAGGAACUCCGCCUGGACGACGGCCGCUUCCAGCGGUAUUUCCGUGUGUCGACGGCGCAGUUCGAGGACCUCCUCGCCCAGGUGGGAAGCAGCAUCUCCCGCCUGGACACGAAAUACAGGCGCUCCAUCUCAGCUUCGGAGCGCCUGUCUAUCUGUCUGUCCCUCAUAUAAACGUCUCUAAGCCCCUUCCACCGCUUACGGCACACAUCCACUGCAAAGACACACACACACAUACGUUGAAACAUGUAGCCUAGCAAGCAGGGGCAGUUAGCUGGGUGGUAGCUAACGGAUGUGAUCAACUGCUCCUCCAUUGUGAUUCUUCUUCUCCUCUUCCUUGUUUCGCCGGUUUGUUGACGUCAGCAGAGCCCUGAUUGGCUGUCGCGGCACGAAGUCGCUCCCAAAGUUCAAAUAUUUGAACUUUGGGAGCGACGCGACUUGGCGUCCUGCGACCUCGGCGACGCGACCUCGGGGACGCGCCUUGGCGACCGGUCGCCCGGUCGCGCAUGGUCGCGUCGCAGGAAGCCGGCGGUCGCCAAGUCGCGUCAGGUCGCGGCUGGCCAUAGACUUUGCAUUGGGAGCCGUCGCCAAGUCGCGUCAGGUCGCGGCUGGUCUGAACGCGGCUUUAAGGUGUGUGAGCGCCUGAUUGACCUGAGUGAGACCAGGUGAGGGAAGGUGAUAUAAACCCUGAAACUCCAGUGCAUGGUGACGAGUCAUUGAAUCCUCCUCUGAGAUAG